rnacentral:rRNA from 1 species
UACGAGCGGCCCAACCGUUAUUCGGAUUUACUGGGCUUAAAGAGUUCGUAGGCGGCGCAGAAAGUGGGGUGUGAAAGCCCUCGGCUCAACCGAGGAAUUGCGCUCCAAACUACUGUGCUAGAGGAAGCUAGAGGUGAGCAGAACAGAUGGUGGAGCGGUGAAAUGCGUUGAUAUCAUCUGGAAUACCGGAGGCGAAGGCGGCUCACUGGGGCUUUUCUGACGCUGAGGAACGAAAGCCAGGGUAGCGAACGGG